rnacentral:sRNA from 1 species
CCUCUUCUGAAGUGGACUGGGUUGAAGAAGACCACUUUCCUUGAGUAGAGGAGAGUCAGCCUUCAGUCAAGUGUAUAUGAGUAGCUGCCGUCCCUGCUAGAACCUCCAAUCAAGCUCUCACAUACGUUAUCUUGGGGGUUAGGAUUUCAGG